rnacentral:snRNA from 1 species
UGCUUUGUGCAGUUGCAGUAUCAUAGCCAAUGAGGUUUAUCCAAGGCAUGACUGUUGCUAAUUGAAAAAAAAAAAAAAAAAGAAUUUAAAAGCCCCUCUACUGUCCAAACUUUUACCUAUGAAUCCCAUCCUUUCAGUGGG